UACAUUAUUACCCACCAUAUACUUAAAUUUCAAAUGUUUCUCUCUUUUUUUCUAAAGACGUGGGGUUUUGUUCUGCCCCCCAAGGCUGGAGUGCAGUGGUGUGAUUAUGGCUCACUGCAGCCUUGAACUCCUUGACUCAGGUCAUCCUCCUGAUUCAGCCUCCUGAGUAGCUAGGACUACAGGCAUGCCCACUACACCUGGCUAAUGUAUAUUUUCAAUUUCUUGUCAAGAAGGGGUCUUACUAUAUUGCACAGGCUGGUCUGGAACUCCUGGGCUCAAGUUAGUUUCCUGCCUCAGCCUCCCAAAGUGCUGGGAUGACAGGCAUGAGCCACCACACCUGGCUGAUCCUUUUUUUUUUUUUUUUUUAGUGGAGAUGGGGUUUCACCAUGUUAGCCAGGAUGGUCUCGAUCUCCUGACCUCGUGAUCUGCCCGUCUCGGCCUCCCAAAGUGCUGGGAUUACUGGCUUGAGCCGCCGCGCCCGGCCAUUUUUUUUUUUUUUUUGAGAUGGAGUCUCACUCUGUUGCCCAGGCUGGAGUGCUGUGGUGAGAUCUCGGCUCACUGCAAGCUCCGCCUCCUGGGUUCACAACAUUCUCCUGCCUCAGCCUCCCUAGGACCUGGGACUACAGGCGCCAGCCACCAUGCCCAGCUAAUUGUUUGUAUUUUUAGUAGAGAUGGGGUUUCACCGUAUUAGCCAAGAUGGUCUCGAACUCCUGACGUCAUAAUCUGCCCACCUUGGCCUCACAAAGUGCUGGGAUUACAGGCAUGAGCCACCGCUAUCGGCCUGAUCGUAAUAUUUUUAAAGAGAAAUGGUGAGAUGAUUCUGGAGAAGACAAUGCAGGAUGAGUCCCUCUCCAGCUUUUGAGACUGUGGGAAAAGCCUGAUAAUAAAGAUGGAGGCACGGAGCAUUAGAAAUUGUGCACAUGGCCGGCACUUUCUUGUUCACUCAGAGAAAAAGUUGAACCUGUUGCUGCUGUUGCUGUUGAGUUACGAUGGGAGAAGACGUGAGACUGCCUUGCAGCUGAGAAGGCACUUCAAAGGCAAGCUCUGAGUCCCAGCAGUGAGUGGCUGGUACUCUGUAACCACACCUCCAUCACCCACUAACCCUGGUUUUGGCUGAUCCAAGUUCCAGCUAAGGACAGCUGGUGAGAAAGUUUUAUAUUCACCAUCACAAACCAAUGUAAUCACAAGGUCAUCUCCCAGAAACAAUGAGAAUAAACAGGGGCAAGAGAAAAUUGCAAUACAUGUGCUUUCUUGGAG
rnacentral:lncRNA from 1 species